rnacentral:lncRNA from 1 species
UUGGUAGCAGGAACACUAGACAGAAAUGCCCAGGCUCUGUUGCCAAUGUGGUCAUUUCUGACCACAUCGUUGACAUGUGCUGAGGCUCUGUUUAAUAACCCAAGUCCCAAGAGAUUGUGUUUGAUUGACUAAUCUUGGUUCUGUGCUAACCAACCUGUACUAGGGGUUGUGCAGAAAUUUUGCUGAAGCUGCCUCUGAGGGACGCCUUUGGUUUUCAUAGUUGGAGAGCAUGUAUUUAGAUGUAUGUUUCCAUUACGACAACAUAGCAGAGGUGAAAAUUCCCCAAAAGGGAGUUGAGUGAUGUCAGGAAGCGGGGGCGGAUGCUAGGCUGCUACAAAUGACAUAUGUUCAUGUCAUCCAUCUGUCAGUGAUCAUAUUAUGCUGGAAAGCCUUUUCUGUGUCCAAUAAAAUCUGCCUUUUCUGAACAGCAUACUAAGUACAUUUAAAAUGUGGGUUACUUAGUAUACAUAGAUGGAGAUUAUUUUUAAAGUUUUACUCUACUGCUUUAUUUCUGGUAGCAUUUUAAUAACUCAACAAUACUUUUUUUUUUUUUAAAGACCCAUGAGGGGUCAGUGGAAGUAAGAAACAGGAAUUCAAAUCUAAGAUAGUGUUGGUUUUUAAAUUUUAUAUACAGCAUGUGCUGCCCACAGUGAAUAGAAGUAAUGGCUAUAAUUUACUUUUUACCUACUGGUUUAAAGUACUGGAUUUAAAGCACUAUGGUCAUUUUAGCUAUAUUUUCAGCACAAGAAUGAUUUGAGGUUAGAAACUUAGGUUCAGAAAGGUAAUAAAAACAGAUGGAGAAUGGUAUUUAUAAUUAUGGGGUCUAGAAUGAGAUUUCCUGGAUUCAGAUUUUCACUCUGACACUUGCGAGAUGUGUGACCUUCUACAAGUUACCCACCUUUCUGUUUCUGGGUUUUCUCUGUCUGAAGAGAGGGAAGAUAGUAGGAUCUAUGUCAUAAGGCUGAUUGGGAUAGUUGUAAAAGAUAGAUAUUAAGCACUUACUGACAUAGCAGUGUUAGUAGCCCAAAACUUAGUAAGCAAUAAAUACUUAAUUACUGAUAUGGUGGCAUUAGUACAUUGAACUUAGUAAGCAACAAAUAUAAGCUAUAAUUAUUUGUAGUAACCCUGGUUAAUUGUAUUAUUUAUUAACAUAAACACACACACACAUAUACUUUUUAUUGAGGGGAGAAAGACCAAAUUGAGGAAUAAGGAAGAAAUUGAAGAACUGGGCAUAAAAACAGUACUAUGCUUUUAACUCAGUGUAAUAAAAAUAAACUGAUGCUUAUUACUCCAGAAAUACUUAUUAGUUUAUGUUGUGCUUGCAUUGUGAGGGGUUUUCAUAUUCUUUAAUUUUUUAAAAAAAAUUGAGGUGUAAUUGACAUAUUACAUUAAUAGUAUUAGGUGUACAACAUAAUGAUUCAAUAUUUGUAUACAGUGCAAAAUGACCACCACAUUAAAUGUAGUUAACAUCUAUCGCCAUACAAAGUUACUGUGUUUUUUCUUUGUGAUGAGAACUUUAAACCAUUCUGAAUAAUUUUUUUGUGAAUGGUUUAAGAUGCAGUCUAGUUUCAUUCUUUUGCAUGUGGCUGUACAGUUUUCUAACACUGUUUAUUGAGGAGAUUGUCUUUCCCCAUUGUAUAUUCGUGCCUGUGUGAAUAAAUUAAUUGACCAUAUAUGCAUGAGUUUAUUUCUGGGUUCUCUGUUCCAUUGAUCUGUGUGUCUGUUUUUAUGCUUUUGCUGUAGUGUUUUGAUUACUAUAGCUUUGUAAUGUACUUUGAAAUCAGGGAAUAUGAUUGCUCCAGCUUUGUUUUUCUUUCUCAAGGUUGCUUUGAGAAAGAAAGUAUUUGGAGUUUUUUGUGAUUCUGUACAAAGUUUAGGGUUGGUUGUUCUAUUUCUGUAAAACAUGCCAGUGGAACUUUGAUAGGGAUUUAUUGAGUCUGUAAAUUGCUUUGCAUAGUAUUGUCAUUUGAACAAUAUCAAUUCUUAAUAGUCCGUGAACCCAGAAUAUAUUUUCAUUUAUUUGUGCCUUCUUCUCUUUCUUUCAUUAAUAUUAUACAGUUUUCACUACACAGGUCUCUAACUUCCUUGGUUAAAUUAAUUCCUCGAUGUUUUAUUCUUUUUGAUAUAAAUUGUAAAUGGGAUUGUUUUCUUAAUUUCGCUUUCUGAUAGUUUGUUAUUAGUGAAUGGAAACACAGGAAAUUUUCAUAUAUUGAUUUUGUACCCUCAAACUUUACUGAAUUGGUUUGUUCAGCAGUUUUUUUGGUGGAAUCUUUAGUAUUCUGUAUAUAUGAAAUAGUGUUAUCUGCAAAUAGUGACAGUUUUACCUCUCUGUCCAGUUUGGAUGCCUUAAUUUCUGUUUCUUACCUAAUUGCUCUGGCUAGGACUGCCCAUACUAUAUCAAAUAAAAUUGGCCAGAGUGGGCAUCUUUUUCUUGUUCCUGAUCUCAGUUUUUUACUGCUGAGUUUGAUGUUAGCUAUGGGCUUCUCACAUAUGGCCUUAUUACGUUUCCUUCAUGCCUGUUUUGUUGAGGGUUUUUAUCGUAAAAGGAUGUUGAAUUUUCUCAAAUACUUUUUCUGCAUCUAUUGAGAUGACCGUAUGAUUUUUAUCCUUCAUUUUCUUAAUGUGGUUUAUCAUGCUGUUUGAUUGGCUUAUAUUGAACCAUCCUUGAAUCGCUGGAAUAAAUCACACUUGGUCAUAAUGACUCUUUUAAUGUUGUUAAAUUCAGUUUGCUAGUAUUUAUUGGGGAUUUUUCUUUCUGUGGUCAUCUGUGAUAUUGGCUUUUAGAUUUCUUUUUUAGUGGUGUCCUUGUCUAGUUUUGGUGUCAGUGUAAUGCUGGCCUCCUAAAAGGAGUUUAGAAAUGUUCCGUCCUUUUAAAUUUUUUGGUAGAGCUUCAGGAUAGGUAUUAAAUCUUUGAUUAUUUGGUAGAAUUCACCCAUGAUAGCUGUCUGGUUCUGUUUUUGAGUGGAGGGAGAGGUUUUGGUUACUCUUUCAAUCUCUGUACUAGUGAUUGUUCUAUUCACAUUUGCUAUUUCUUCAUGAUUCAAUCUGGGAAGAUUGUAUGUUUCUUGAAAUUUAUACAUUUUUUCUAGGUUGUGCAACUUGUUGGCAUAUAGUUGUUAAAGCAGUCUCUUAGGCGCCUUUGUCUUCCUGGGUUAUCAGUUGUAACUUCUCCUUCAUUGCUGAUUUUAUGUAUUUGAGCCCUCUCUUUUUCUUGGUCAGUCUAGCUAAAGGUUUGUUAAUUUUGUUUAUCAUUUCAAAGAAACAAUUCUUAGUUUUAUUGUUCUUUUCUGUUGUCUUUUUAGUCUCCAUUUCACUUACUUCUGCGUGAUCUUUAUUACUUUCCUUCUACUAAAUUUGGACAUGCUUUGUUCUUCAUAUUCUAAUAGUUUUGAACUAAUUAUUGAAAUAAUUUACUGAGCAUUUUAUCUUUAUUCUCCUUUGUAAUAUGCUACUUUACACACAUACGUAGUUAUAUAUUGAACAUAUGUAGUUAUGAAGUGCGGUAUCAAGAGGAGCAUUUGUGGAGUUCCCAUCGUGGCUCAGUGGCUAGGGGUCUAAUCGAGCUGUAGCCGCCGGCCUGCACCACAGCCACAGCAACACCGUAUCCAAGCUGCGUCUGCAACCUACACCACAGCUCAUGGCAACUGAACAAGGCCAGGGAUCGAAUCCACAACCUUGUGGUUCCUAGUCAGAUUAGUUUCCGCUGUGCCAUGAUGGGAAGUCCCUGAGCAGGUUUUCAAAAAAUGGUUUUAAAUACAUUUAAAGCAUUUAUGAAGGAAAUUAAAGAAGAGCAAUAAAGUUUGGAGAAAUAUUGAAUUAAUAAUUAGGAUGGGUUAUGUAAACUAGGUAAUACUGCUCACGAUGACAGUCUACACUGAAAAGUUUUGAAGACUCAUAGCAAUUUGCAUUUGUACCGCUGGUUAAAGUCUCAAGGUGUUUAGUUAUUUUCAUCAUUUAUUUAUUUAUGAAGAGAAAACAUUCUGCCCAACUUACUUCAUGCUUGCGUAUUAUCACCUAUGUUAUGUCCGUUUAACUUUUAGAAAUUGAUUUCAUUUUGAUUUUUAAAAAAACAACGUGUUUAUUGUAGAAAAUAUGGGGAUUGCAUAAAGUAUAUUUACUUUCACCUUUCAGAGGCAACUGUUGUUUAUAUUUAAUGGAAAAGUAUCAGGUUUAGUGUAAUGUGAUACAUUCAUGGAGGCAUCAUAAAAUGUUUGCCCUUGAUGAUGGUGCUGCAGACUGACAUGGGGAAACUGAAUUCAUUAGCAGUUUCGCAAGUGGUUUUCUUCCCAGCUUCUCUGUAUUCUCGCCUAUUUUAUUCUCGUACCGACACAGUUGUAUUCAUUUGUUGAGGUAUUUAAAACAUCUGGAAUGGGGGGGUUGCUAUAAGGUAGGCAAUUAAUUUUUUGUCAAAUGAAUGGCAUUUCUUCAUUUUUCAGAACUUUCAUGUCCUUUGGUAAAAUCUUGUAGCUUUCUUCUUAUAAACGGCACAUUUCUUUUUAGAUUUAUUCCUAUUUAUUCCACAUCUUUUUGUUGCUAUCUCUCGACACAUCUUAUUUUUUUUCCCCAGUCAAAUUUGAAAUUGAUUUUUUCUGUGUGUAGGAGAGUGAUUAAUGUUGACUUUGGUUCUGGCCACAUUUCUGCAUGUUUUUAUUCAUUCUUAAUAAAGCUUUUUAGUUGAUUUUAUCUGUCUUUAUUGGUAGGCAUAAACAAAAUCUUGUACUUCUUGUUUUUUCUUUUAUUUCUCCUUUGAUUAAAACCUUGACUUUUUCCUCUCGACUCACAUGGGAACCCUUCUGCUGUUGACUAUUGAUUGAGUGUAAUAUUUGUUUUAGGCUCCUCCUAUGUCCUUCUUUCCUCUUAUUUGGUUAAGAGGCUCUUUGGGAUUUGUUGUCUGUUUUUUGGUUGUUAAAUGUUUAUCUUAAAGUGGAGGGGAGGUUAGAUUUUAAGUACUUUUAAGUAUUUUCAACCUUUGUUACUAGGAGAUCAAUCAAGAUAGCAAUAGGUGUGUGUGGCAUUUAUCUGCUGGUAUGGCAGAUAAAUAUCUUUAAAUUUACUCAUUUUGCUUCCCCGUGGUUAAGUCCUAUUUGGUCAUGAAGGGAUACUUUUAUUUUUUUUGUUUUUGUCUUUUUGUUUUAGGGCCAUACCCGUGGCAUAUGGAGGUUCCCAGGCCAGGUCAAGUUGGAGCUGUCGCCGCUGGCCUACGCCACAGCCGCAGCCAGAUCCGAGCUGCAUCUGUGACCUACACCAGAGCUCACAGCAACAAUGGAUGCUUAACCCACUGAGCAAGGGCAGGUAUCAAACCCAUGUCCUCAUGGAUACUAGUCAGAUUCGUUUCCAUUGAGCCACGACAGAAACUCCAGGGAUAGUUUUAAAUAUGUAGUGGAUUUGUCAAGAUUUUAUUUGGUGGCUUUGCAUCUUUAUUUAAAAAUGUGAAUUUGUAGGUUUUAUUUUCUGGCAUAUUUGUUAAUUUUUGAUAGCAGAGAUAGACUAGCUUUGUAUCUCCAUUACUCAUACAUCUAAAGCUCUAUGCUGUACCCUUGAUUGCUUUUACAUUCUCCCUAAAUAGUACCUCUUCUCACCAUUCCAGUCACAUGCCUGCCUGUACCACCUCACCACUAGCAUCCUACCAGAGGGCCUGCCAUAGGCAGCACUACUCGAUAUUUCAGGUGUUUUCAGAAGCAGCAAGGAGGCAAGGGGAAGAAAGAUGGUGGAGGUAGAGGAGAAAGAAUAUUAUCAAAAUUUAUGGAUAAAACCAUUUGUUUUCCAUAAUUGAUGUAACACAUAUAACUGAAUACAUUUGUGUUUAUGGACUCUAUCAUUAUAUAUCUUAGCUUUUGUCUUUUGACAUAUUAACUGUGUAAUUUCUUUUUAGUAAAUUAUCUUUUGUUUACAAAUAUGUAAAUGUGUAUAUGUUUAUGUUUUUAAUACCCACAGCCCUUUUCCCGUUAAAUCGCAUUCAAACUUAUUACCAU